CCGCAACCACCCUCUAACUUCUCUCUAAACUCUUCCCUCCGCUGGCCGCUUUCUCCUCCUCUCUCACCUUUCCCUCCACCGGUGGCUUGAAGCUCGAUCACCUAAAACCCUAAAUAUCUCUUCCCUCCACCGGCAAUUCCUCCCUUCAUUUUCUUCUUUGCCUUUCUCUCUCUAACCGCGGCAUCACUCUCACUUCUCUCUAAACUUUUCCUUCUGCUGACCGCUUUGUCCUUCUCUGUCACCUUCCCCGCCACCGGUGCCUUGAAGCUCGGCCACCCAAAACCCCAAAUAUCUCUUCCCUCCACCGGCAAUCCCUAGAUCUGAAACAGAAAAAGUUGAAUCUUUGGCCUAAGUUUGCCGGCCGGUUCUUGAUCUGUGCGAAGAGCUCCAAUUUCUCCAAACGAUUUCGGGGUUGAUUUUAAGGUAAAAUAUGUGAAUGCUGGGGGACAUGAAGCGACCAUUUAAACAAAUGAAGGAACUCGACAUGGAGAAGGUGAUCUCGGAUAUCAUUGACAAGAUUAAGUGAUGAGGACCAUGUGUGCAUAGAACUGGAAGUAUGUCCUGAUAGUUAUAGUGAUAGCAUUUUGUGGUUUUACCAGAUUAACUUGCCUUGUGGAAAGGAGGGCUGGGUAAAAAAAAAGGGAAGAAAAACUUCAUUUUGUGUAUUAUCUUCAGUUCUUGAUCAUUCAAUGUGUCGGCAGAUGAUUUUAGAUUCAUAGGUAUUGUGGAUAUUGUUGGCUGGUCGGCUUGUAGAAGAUUCCAAGUGAUACUGCUACCGAAGCAACCUUGAUUUGUAUUAUUGUUUAUCUUUCUGUAACCGCAUUAACCUUUUAAUUUUUUCCACCUCUAA